UACGUAGGGUGCAAGCGUUAAUCGGAAUUACUGGGCGCAAAGCGUGCGUAGACGGUAGCGUAAGUCAGAUGUGAAAGCCCCGGGCUCAACCUGGGAAUUGCAUUUGAGACUGCGUAGCUAGGGUGCGGAAGAGGGAAGCGGAAUUUCCGGUGUAGCGGUGAAAUUCGUAGAUAUUCGGAAGAACACCAGUGGCGAAGGCGGCUCACUGGACCGGCAUUGACGCUGAGGUGCGAAAGCGUGGGGAGCAAACAGG
rnacentral:rRNA from 1 species